CAAAGAAUAGUUUAUAAAAAUACUGGUUUUGGAAAUCAGAGAUGUUACUUAUUGUAUCUUUUUUGA
rnacentral:tRNA from 1 species